rnacentral:rRNA from 1 species
CGCAGGCGGUGACUUAAGUGAGGUGUGAAAGCCCCGGGCUUAACCUGGGAAUUGCAUUUCAUACUGGGUCGCUAGAGUACUUUAGGGAGGGGUAGAAUUCCACGUGUAGCGGUGAAAUGCGUAGAGAUGUGGAGGAAUACCGAAGGCGAAGGCAGCCCCUUGGGAAUGUACUGACGCUCAUGUGCGAAAGCGUGGGGAGCAAACAGGAUUAGAUACCCUGGUAGUCCACGCUGUAAACGAUGUCGAUUUGGGGGUUGAGCUUUGAGCUUGGCGCCCGUAGCUAACGUGAUAAAUCGACCGCCUGGGGAGUACGGCCGCAAGGUUAAAACUCAAAUGAAUUGACGGGGGCCCGCACAAGCGGUGGAGCAUGUGGUUUAAUUCGAUGCAACGCGAAGAACCUUACCUACUCUUGACAUCCAGAGAACUUUCCAGAGAUGGAUUGGUGCCUUCGGGAACUCUGAGACAGGUGCUGCAUGGCUGUCGUCAGCUCGUGUCGUGAGAAG